rnacentral:rRNA from 1 species
GACGAACGCUGGCGGCGUGCCUAAUACAUGCAAGUCGAGCGCAGGAAAUCAUGCGAACCCUUCGGGGGGACGUUGAUGGAAUGAGCGGCGGACGGGUGAGUAACACGUAAAGAACCUGCCCUCAGGUCUGGGAUAACCACGAGAAAUCGGGGCUAAUACCGGAUGGGUCAUCGGACCGCAUGGUCCGAGGAUGAAAGGCGCUUCGGCGUCGCCUGGGGAUGGCUUUGCGGUGCAUUAGCUAGUUGGUGGGGUAAUGGCCCACCAAGGCGACGAUGCAUAGCCGACCUGAGAGGGUGAUCGGCCACACUGGGACUGGGACACGGCCCAGACUCCUACGGGAGGCAGCAGUAGGGAAUCUUCCACAAUGGACGAAAGUCUGAUGGAGCAACGCCGCGUGAACGAUGAAGGCCUUCGGGUCGUAAAGUUCUGUUGUAAGGGAAGAACAAGUGCCGCAGGCAAUGGCGGCACCUUGACGGUACCUUGCGAGAAAGCCACGGCUAACUACGUGCCAGCCGCCGCGGUAACAC